CACCAGAGAUUUCAGUCUGCAGGAGUCCUUCGAGCAGAGAUGAGCGGAGAUAUUGGAAAUGUGAUAACGAUUUCAUUACUUCACUAUUAAAAGCCAUGUACAGAGACCGAGACCCUGCGGGCGGAGGGGGGAACAGAGCAAAUCCAGGCAAUAUGGAGACUAUUUUUAUCAUCCCAGGUUCAAUAUGUUCCCUCCCUUCAACUACCAGUCCCAGGAUCCCUUAUUUGUAAGGCAUCUGGAGCCGUAAUCAUUACCCAACUGCUGAGAAAGGAAUGAAACCGCUAAUCGCCCUGGGAGACAGGCUUACCGCUCCGAGGGAAAAAAGUUUUUGUGAAGUUCUAAUUUGGAGAAUUAUUCUUUCGAGUUUUCUGUUCAGGAUUCCACAUCCACUAGGAGGUUCUCACUAUAGCAACCGCUCUCCGCAGGAUGGAAAUAAAC